rnacentral:rRNA from 1 species
CUACGGGUUGCUCCAGUGAGGAAUAUUGCACAAUGGGGGGAACCCUGAUGCAGCAACGCCGCGUGGAGGAUGACGCAUUUCGGUGUGUAAACUCCUUUUAUAUGUCAAGAAAAUGACGGUAGCAUAUGAAUAAGCACCGGCUAACUCCGUGCCAGCAGCCGCGGUAAUACGGAGGGUGCAAGCGUUACUCGGAAUCACUGGGCGUAAAGGACGCGUAGGCGGGUUGGAAAGUCAGGUGUGAAAUCCUACAGCUUAACUGUAGAACUGCACUUGAAACUUCUAAUCUAGAGUAUGGGAGGGGAGAUGGAAUUAGUGGUGUAGGGCUAAAAUCCGAAGAUAUCACUAGGAAUACCUAAAGCGAAGGCGAUCUCCUGGAACAUUACUGACGCUAAGGCGUGAAAGCGUGGGGAGCAAACAGAAUUAGAUACCCGUGUAGUC